rnacentral:misc_RNA from 1 species
GGGCAAAGAAGGUAGAAGACUACGUAAUACCAAAACGUGGAAAAAAGCAGCCGAAAGUAACGGGAAUGUGAAAGGUGAAGAUUGAAGAAAGGGAAGAGCAAGAAAAACGGACGGUCCAGAAAUCAUCAACGGACAAGAUCCGAUCGUUCACUUUUCAAAGCGCUAUCUCCGCAUUCAUCGCCCAUUACCUUUUUUUUUUUUUUUAAUU